GACCACGUCAGGUUGAAAUACCUGUUCCCGUACGAUCAUCGAAGUUAAGCGACAUAGAGCCUCAUUAGUCCCUAGAUGGGUGAUCGCUUAGGAAUAGCAGGCGCCGUAAG